rnacentral:rRNA from 1 species
UACGGAGGGGGCUAGCGUUGUUCGGAAUUACUGGGCGUAAAGCGCGCGUAGGCGGCUUUGUAAGUUAGAGGUGAAAGCCCGGAGCUCAACUCCGGAAUUGCCUUUAAGACUGCAUCGCUAGAAUCAUGGAGAGGUGAGUGGAAUUCCGAGUGUAGAGGUGAAAAUUCGUAGAUAUUCGGAAGAACACCAGUGGCGAAGGCGACUCACUGGACAUGUAUUGACGCUGAGGUGCGAAAAGCGUGGGGAGCAAACAGG